UCUCCGGAAACUACUACUAUGAGUUGAUAAUGUAGGAAAUGAGAAUGGGAAUGCACUGGCUUGGGAGAAGGCUUUUAUUCAGUUAGCAAAGGUUUAAACACUGUGCAAUGCACAUCCUGCAUUGCAUUGUUGCUGUUUCCUGUGGGCAUUUCAGAUUUUAUGCAAAUAUGGAGCAAAUAUAUCGAUUUUCGUAAACUUUUAUGCUAAUGAUACUUGAUAUUGAGAUCUGGAGCAAAUAUGUUUAUAGGAAAAACUGCUGGUGCUGUCUUGGAACUGAGUCUCUCAUUUUCAGCCGAAAGCUCAAUUGAGGAAGAGUUAAAAAGAGAAAGUACUGCUGAUGUUACAACCAUAAUAGUAACCUAUCUGGUAAUGUUCCUUUAUAUAUCUCUGACAUUAGGAGAUGCAACUCAAAUAUCUUCUUUUUACCUCCCGUCUAAGGUACGAUCUUAACCUUCACUUAAGUAUCUUCUAUUCCUUAUAUAGAUCAAUUCCCUUGCUGAUGUCACAAAUGAUUCUUUUCUGGGCUGAACCACGAACAUGAUGAAGUGUGGUUUUUACUCAUCCAUCAUUUCUCAUGAUUUAUUAUUACAAUCUCGUUCCUCUGGUCCUUCUUUACAUGUCUAAAGGUGAAGCCAAAGCAAUGUUUUCAAGGUACGAAGGGUUUCUUGGAGCAUUGGGUGCAUUCAUGAGCUAUGAAAAGCAUGGCUUUGAUAACUUGAUGGUCUAUCAGUUAGUGCAACAAUCCCCAAUCGGUGGAUUCCAUGGAGGAGAUAAAACUCAUGGUCCUGCAAACUUGGAAUUGAAUGAUAACCCAAGCAUAAAUUGCAGUAUAUACUUGUCUUAGAAUUUGCAUUAGCUUUUCCUCCAGGCUCGACACAAUGCUUAGAGGCAAUUCUAUACUAUAUAUGAGCACAUCAACCUAGAAAAUCUAGAUUUUGUACUGUAUUUUGGAGAUAGCAACUAUGUAACUGUGUCCUUAUUCAAUAAAGUGAAUUACUUA